UACGUAGGGGCAAGCGUUGUCCGGAAUCAUUGGGCGUAAAGCGCGUGUAGGCGGUCCGGUAAGUCCGCUGUGAAAGUCGAGGGCUCAACCCUCGAAUGCCGGUGGAUACUGUCGGGCUUGAGUACGGGAGAGGCGAGUGGAAUUCCUGGUGUAGCGGUGAAAUGCGCAGAUAUCAGGAGGAACACCGAUUGCGAAGGCAGCUCGCUGGAACGUUACUGACGCUGAGACGCGAAAGCGUGGGGAGCAAACAGG
rnacentral:rRNA from 1 species